AGGGGCAGUAAGCAACAGGAGGGAGAUAUCCAGCCACAGUCAUCUGCUAGUAGGAAAUCCUAUGGUUCUUGGACUAGUCAGAUUAGGAAGCUUUGCUUCCAGUUACCUAGGAGAUGGUAAUGUUUUGAGAGAACUUAGAAUUCAUAGGACCAUAAAGAACCAGGUCGCAUAACCCUACUGCAAUGAGAAUCCCAAGAAACAAGUGGGUCAGGUGGAGCAUGCAAGUGGCCUGGGGAAGGAGAGCCAGCUUGUAUGUGUAUGAGAAUGCACAGGAGUCCUGUAUAUGAAGCAGGGAAGCACAUGCUGGAAAACAGCAAUCAAGGGCAACAGGGAGCCUGGGAAUACUAGAGCAAAUUCGGUUUCAAGAUAAAGGGCCCCUGGGAUGCCCAAGGAGCAGCCACUGUUUGGCCAGGGUUUGGACCUCCAGCAGCAGAGCAGCGUGUGUGUCACAGUCACAUCGGAAGAUCUACAGCAGGAAGUGCUCCUUCUUUAUGCCCCAAACACCAAGUGCAUGCUCCAGUGAGAGAUUUACAGAUACGACUGCCCAUGAGGACGCUUCGUCAUUUUGUCUGUCGUAUGCUUUGUAGUCUGUGGGAUGUUCACAAUUAAGGACUGCAAAAGUGGGGACUUCAGUGCAAAAGUGUGAGCCUCGGCCAAGGCACUUCAGCAUUCCCAGCACAAGUCUCGCACUGAGAAUUCCAUCAGAUUUAUUUUCCUGGAAAGGUGUGUCAGACCGGUUCACCCUGGGCAGUUGCACACCCAGGAUACCUGUCUCACUGUAACUAGGAGACUCAUAGUCCAGAGUGGAGUGUCCCAGCCAACACUGGCUGUGGCUUUCAGCCUGCUCUCUCCUAGCAAAGCUGCUUAGUCCUUCAAAUACAAGGAGCUGGUUUUCAGCCAGCCAGCAGCAGGGGGUGGCAGGGACAGAACUAAACAGGGCAUUCUGCCCAGUGCUAGCCAGAGUCCCAUCUGCCCCAAGCAAUAACUUGUUCGACAUGGCAGCUUUGAUAGGAGCUCCUCUCUGUCUAACCCCUCUGCUGCCUACUCUCUUCUUUUUGGUUAUCAGUCACCUGAGAAACUACUUGAAUCCUGAUCUCUGAUGUUGUUUUCAGUGACUCCUGAACAAAAUGGACAGGGUCCUUAUAAUGUAUUCAACUCUGAGCUGCACCCCAGGAGGCGCUGAGGAACUGCUAUUUGACUGCAUUCCCCCUCCCAGGAAGUGUGGAUUUCUUUUUCUUUAUGAGGAGAAAAGAAGAAAAUGGCUCCAAGGCCUGGAGUCACUAAAAUAUUAACAAUCCAUAGAAUGUUGACUAGGUGCCAGGACUGGGCUAAGCUGGUUUGCAUGAUGUUAUGGUUUGAGUAGAUCCCCAAGAAACACAUUGGAAACUUAAUCCCAAUGUAACAGUGUUAGGAGGUGUUUAUAUUAAGACAGCUUCACUUCCUCUCUGCCUCUCCUUUCCCUCUCUCUUCUUUCCUCUCUAUCCUCUCUUGUUCUUUUCUCUUCAGUCAUGGAAGAUGCAGCAAAAGGCCCUUGCCAUAUGCCAGCCCCUUGAUCUUGGAUUUCUCAGUUGCUAGAAUUGUGAGGGUAUCCAUUUCUUUUCUUUAUAGCUGCCCUGAUCUGUGGUAUUCUGUUAUAGCGGUGCAAAGCUGACUGACACACAGAUUAUCUCAUUAAUUCCUUGGCAGCUUUGUGGGAAGACUGAUAUAAGUAGUGCCUCCCUGUGGAAGGAAGCAACCGACUUUUGAAUGUUAUACUACUAUAUGGUAGGGUUCACAUUUGAGUCAUAGGUGACCUGUACCCAACCGCACAGCUCUAGAGUAGGUGAGACCUAAUGCUUCAGCAUUAGGAAACUAUGCUGAUAUGAGAACCCAUUAGCACACUAGCUAUGGAAGCCCCAAAUUACUCAUACACACAGUACUCUUAAGACAUCUCUCCAUUCCGUGCAUCUGAAAGUGGCUUCCCCUCAACUAAGAGGAUGGGUUUAUAUUCAUUGCCACGAAAUCUCAUCUUUUAAGACAUAGCUCAUUUCAGGAUGACUGGCUUUUGUGACCCUAUUUCAGCCCUCAUAUAAUUAAGUCAGAGUUAGUUAGCUGUGAUUUCAGUAAAAUCCAUUUACUAUAUAUCGAAGUUACCUAGCACAUGGUGUUUAGUGAGGGUGUUCAGUUCUGGCAGGGGUUCAGGGACUGAAGUGAUAUGCAUGCCUUCUCAGUCUAAUUUUCCUUGUUAUCUGAUCUUCCAUUUUUUCUUUUCCCCUGUCUGCUAAGCUUAAGGGAAUUCCUGAGGAGCCAGCAAAUGCCAAGCUGAAGGUACAAGGCUCUCAGGCUUCUGAGUCACUGUGUGGAUAGAUGCUUGCUGAAUACUGUGUAGCUAUGGAACUUUGCAAGAGUGUUAAGUAGACUCCUCUGUUAGUAAAGUACUAAGAUCUAUCAAACCACUUAUGAUUACCAUGAAUCAACAAGGCACUUUUUGUUUGUCCUUCCUUCUAGGUUUAUGGUGUCUAUAAGGUGGGGUUUUUUUUGUUUUUUGUUUUUUUAUGGUUUCAAAGACUUGAUGCUAAUCAUUUAGGCGAUGCUGGGAACCAUAGUGAACCGAAAGAUGUGGCAGAGGUAGCAUGAGCAAAUGGCAGAUGUGGGCUGCCGCUUACAACAGUGUGAGCUCCUGCAAAGGUCUUCCGGCAAAUGUUUUCCUGUCCGUUUGUCUACCUGGUAAUUGCCAUAAGCAAUUAACUGAUCCUAAUAGGACCUAACCAAAAAUAAAUAAAUAAACUCACUUUGAGUCAGAGAGUUCUGAGGACUUGCUCAAAGCUCCACAGUGGGCUGACAGCAGAGCUGAGUGACAUCUUUGGGUUUUGUGGAUGGCACAAGGUCACUUGAAGAACAUUCCCCCUUCUGACAAUGCUCAAAUGGUUCAUCCAAGUCACCUGAAUCCUUCAAGUAUGAGCAGUGACUUUCCUUUCAGAGUGAUUUCCUAUAACUCUAGCAGCUAUGAAAACAAAGGCCUGUCUCCUGGCAAUGGCUUCAGCCCACAACCAAACCCAAGACCUGCCUAAAUGCCACCAAUGGACAGAGAAUUAACAUAUUUCCUUAUUGCUAGGAAACAGAAGUUCAGUAAUUAUAUUACACCUAAUAAGAGACUUGGGUUUCCAGACUUUUAUAUUUUUAUCUGUAAAUAUUAGCUUUCCUGUUGAGGCAGCUUGCUUUCAACCUCUUGUACUUUCAACAUUUAAUUAAAAGUCUCCCAGAACUCAUUAUAUUCUGCCCUCCAAAAGCUGGCUAAGCAAAAUCAUUCUUUGCUAUUGUAGCUCUUUCCUCUUAGAUGUUCUUUCGUGUAACUCACUGAAGCCACGCUCUGAAACCCAGAGUCUGGGCAGGUUUAUCAGUGUUCUGGUGCUAGCAUAUGCCAGAGAUAAGCGCUGAACACCCGCAAUGCUCCUCUGGACAAAGGGGACAAAGAUAACAGUUCAGUCCCUCUUAGCACCUUGCAAGGAUGGGAUGAGAUCCCACGACCUGGCACAUAGCACACAGUCAGUAGGGGUGACGCUUUCCUGUUUUCUUUUCUAUAUCUACCACAGAAGUACAACUCCAGGAAAGGAACUUUUUGCAGGCGGUUUCAGCCAGUAUUGCUGAGAGACUUAUCACUUAUCAUUCCCUUUUCUUUACUAUUUCAGUACCCAGCUGCCCAACUUCUGC